UCCUCACAAUUAACUGUAUUAAUAAUUCCUUAGUUGUGAGGUCAUAAUGCCUGCUUAAAGGGAUCCAGAAUCUUCCAACCUCUCUGUGUUAAAAACAAUAGCUGCAGACUAUUUUGCCACCAGUAUGUGGGUGGUUGGAGGAAAUGGAAAAAAUAGAAAUUCACAAUGCCUAAUGAUUUAUUAAUGAGUUUCAUCUUCUCUCUGGAAUGGGGACCACUAAUUACAUGUGUGUCUAAUCACUGGCUGCGGAUGGAAUGCUGCAGCAUCAGCCGAGCCCCAGAGGGGACCCAGGUGGAGUUAAUGAAGUAAAGACUGGGUGGAUAAUUUUAGCAUCUUGGGCCAGAUCUGGGCUAUGCCAUUCUUCACCCCCAGGGAAAAUCACAUCUAUAAAUCUGGAAGAAACCAGUGUAAAGCAUGCAAACAGUACUGACUGCUGAUAGACACGCGAGGGGUGAAGACAGA
rnacentral:lncRNA from 1 species